rnacentral:lncRNA from 1 species
UGAACCAAAAUGGCACUGACAUGAUUCAUAAGUAAUAACAGUACAUAUCCUUUUAUUUAAUUAAACAUAAAAUGAAAGAUUAAUAUUGCAUGUACCUAACCAGUAUGGUUAGGAUUUCUCCCAUAUUGAAGGACAAUAAACAAAUAUUACAUGUACCUAACCAGUAUGGUCAGGAUUUCUCCUAUAUUGAGGGACAAUAAACAGGUCAAAAUUAUCAUUUUUCCCAUCAUCAUCAUCAGCAAUAUUAUUAUAAUAAGGUGGGUAUGCGGACUUCUUACCUGAAAAUUAAUAUUAAAAAAUGUAUUUAUAAAUAUGAUACGAACACUAAAGUUUAUAAGGAGAAAUAAAAUGAAAUAGAAAAAUUAGAUAAAAAAUGGGGUUAAUUCGAGGAAACCCAAACCUCCAAAUAAGUAUUGGUUAUUCGAGAAACCAAUAAACUCCCAAUUACAACUUUUAUGUUGCCAAAAUAAUAAACUCAUG